rnacentral:rRNA from 1 species
CCUACGGGAGGCAGCAGUGAGGAAUAUUGGUCAAUGGACGAGAGUCUGAACCAGCCAAGUAGCGUGAAGGAUGACUGCCCUAUGGGUUGUAAACCUCUUUUAUGCGGGGAUAAAGGUGUCCACGUGUGGAUGUUUGCAGGUACCGCAUGAAUAAGGACCGGCUAAUUCCGUGCCAGCAGCCGCGGUAAUACGGAAGGUCCGGGCGUUAUCCGGAUUUAUUGGGUUUAAAGGGAGCGUAGGCGGACUGUUAAGUCAGCGGUAAAAGCCCGGGGCUCAACCCCGGCGAGCCGUUGAAACUGGCUGUCUUGAGAUGUCGAGAGGUAUGCGGAAUGCGCAGUGUAGCGGUGAAAUGCUUAGAUAUUGCGCAGAACUCCGAUUGCGAAGGCAGCAUACCGGCGGCGAUCUGACGCUGAGGCACGAAAGCGUGGGUAUCGAACAGGAUUAGAUACCCGAGUAGUC